AGUGAACGCUGGCUGCGUGCCUAAUACAUGCAAGUCGAACGGAGUGGCGCACGGGUGUGUAAUGUAUAGCUAAUCUGCCCUACACUAGAGGCCUACAGUUGGAAACGGCUGCUAAUACUUUAUAGUGUAGGAUGAGGCUUUAUUGUAUCAGCUAGUUGGUGAGGUAAUGGCUCACCAAGGCUAUGACGCAUAACUGGUCUGAGAGGAUGAACAGUGACACUGGAACUGAGACACGGUCCAGACACCUACGGGAGGGAGCAGUAGGGAAUAUGGCUCAAUGGGGGAAACCCUGAAGCAGCAACGCCGCGUGGAGGAUGACACUUUUCGGAGCGUAAACUCCUUUUGUUAGGGAAGCGGUACCUAACGAAUAAGCACCGGCUAACUCCGUGCCAGCAGCCGCGGUAAUAC
rnacentral:rRNA from 1 species